GAACUAAUAUCAAUAUGGCAUAACCACAUAACCCGAACCCGAAUCUGCAGUGAUACACGAAUUUGCUUUCUGCGAAACAAGGAUGCCAGUUUCAGCAGCUUCACCAAGUUCUCACACCAGCAAGACCCAUCCUUAUGGCAGGGUAGGGAUAAUAUUGGCAGUCUUGUUUGUGGGGUUCUUGGCAUGGGCUUAUCAAGAAAUUAAGCCUCCUCCUCCCAAGAUCUGUGGCUCACCCGGUGGCCCUCCGGUCACAGCGCCUCGAAUUAAACUCAGAGAUGGAAGACACUUGGCAUAUAAAGAACAUGGGAUUCCCAGGGAUAGAGCCAAGUAUAAGAUAUUGUCAUUAGAAUAGGUCUUGUAUCUGUUGUAACAGUCCCCUGGUUUAGCUGAUGUGUUUCCCUCUAUAUAUAGCCUGCACAUAUAAUCAAUAAUACAAGCAUUCAUUCUUCUCUAUUA